rnacentral:misc_RNA from 1 species
UUUCCGUAGGUGAACCUGCGGAAGGAUCAUUAACAAUGUUGGCUGCUUUCAGCUUUCCAUACCUGUGCAUUUACUUUAUCUGGUGGGUGAUGUGUUGGUUGAGAGUAAUCUCGAUCAGCCUCCACUGCCCACCGUCUUUCUUCAAUACUGUCUGAAUGAGUUUAAACAUAAAAACUCCCAACAACGGAUCUCUUGGCUCUGGCAUCGAUGAAGAACGCAGC